rnacentral:rRNA from 1 species
AUACGAAGGGGGCUAGCGUUGCUCGGAAUGACUGGGCGUAAAGGGCGUGUAGGCGGUUUGUACAGUCAGAUGUGAAAUCCCCGGGCUUAACCUGGGAGCUGCAUUUGAGACGUGCAGACUAGAGUGUGAGAGAGGGUUGUGGAAUUCCCAGUGUAGAGGUGAAAUUCGUAGAUAUUGGGAAGAACACCGGUGGCGAGGGCGGCAACCUGGCUCAUUACUGACGCUGAGGCGACGAAAGCGGUGGGGAGAC